GGCAUUAUGGCCGAGCGGUUAAGGCGAAAGACUUGAAUUCUAAUGUUCAGGCAUCUUUUGGGAUUUCCCGCGCAGGUUCGAAUCCUGCUGAUGUCG